AUGCUGUCUACUAUGAGGAAAAUAUAGGAAGGUGAACAUAUCUUUACUGCCACACCUAUAUACAUGAUAUCCAAUUAUAUUUCUUAUAUCCCUAUUUCUCUAACUGAUGCCAUUUUCGUUAAAUGCAAUGCACUAAUAAGUUGAUUAGUUUGUUAAUGUUUCUGUAGAGUUGUGUUAUGUAAUCCACAAUAUUAGUCACAAGAGGGGCUUCCAGAUAAAACAUGUAACAACAUAGAAGUUUACAAGGUGAAGCCCUCAUGAUUCUAUGAGACUGAUGGCAUUUGCAUGACAUUUGCUUACCUCCUGCUGUGGGAUGGAUCAAAGUAGAUGUACACAUGUGUUCAAGACUCAGGCCUAUAGUUUUGUGAUGAUGUUAUAGUUGUAGCUUGAAAGAUUUCUUCCAUUGCAAAAGCUGAGAUGUUAGCCUAUAUUGGAGCUUUAAAACAGUUGGUUCCACGUGCAAAUGACCAUAUAUAUAAACCUCUAUUUUGAUUGUGGUUGUUGUCCAAACUUUGAAUGAUGUAAAUUGGUGGGUCGACCUUAUUUACCUAUAUAUGUACCACCAUAGUCAUGUAUCACUCCUAAGUAUCAAUGUCAAAUGAAAAUAAUUUAUUCAUUUGUUUGCUAAACUUUUU
rnacentral:lncRNA from 1 species